rnacentral:rRNA from 1 species
GUGAGGAAUAUUGGUCAAUUGGCGCAAGCCUGAACCAGCCAUGCCGCGUGCAGGAAGACGGUCCUAUGGAUUGUAAACUGCUUUUAUUUGGGAAUAAACUCCGGUACGUGUACCGGCCUGAAGGUACCAAAUGAAUAAGCACCGGCUAACUCCGUGCCAGCAGCCGCGGUAAUACGGAGGGUGCAAGCGUUAUCCGGAAUCAUUGGGUUUAAAGGGUCCGCAGGCGGUCUUAUAAGUCAGUGGUGAAAGCCUACAGCUCAACUGUAGAACUGCCAUUGAUACUGUAGGACUUGAAUUCGAUCGAAGUGGGCGGAAUGUGACAUGUAGCGGUGAAAUGCUUAGAUACCAUCAGGAACACCGAUAGCGAAGGCAUUGUACUGGCCGACAACUGACGCUGAUGCACGAAAGUGUGGGGAUCGAACAGGAUUAGAAACCCUAGUAGUCC